rnacentral:rRNA from 1 species
GACAGAGGGUGCAAACGUUGCUCGGAAUUACUGGGCGUAAAGCGCGUGUAGGUGGUUACGCGAGUCGGGUGUGAAAGCCCGGGGCUCAACCCCGGAAGUGGCAUUCGAUACUACGUAGCUGGAGUCUUGAAGAGGAGAGCGGAAUUCCCGGUGUAGAGGUGAAAUUCGUAGAUAUCGGGAGGAACACCAGUGGCGAAGGCGGCUCUCUGGGCAAUGACUGACACUGAGACGCGAAAGCCGUGGGUAGCAAACAGG